CUAGACCUAGCCUACAACCAUCAGCAAAACAGAAGCCAAGUUCAGCACCGCACGCCCCACGUCCGUGCACUUCUCCACCAUACCACGUCGAUAGCAUGUCGUUUGUCCUCACUUGUAAAAACAGUUGCGAGUUAGGCUAUAUAAAGCCAUUUUAUUUAAGCAAAAAGGUAAAUCAAGACCUAAAGGCACAUCAAGGGUAUUUUUUUCCUUUUAUUUAUUUAUUUGCUAUUUCAUUUUAUUUUCCUCUUUUUUCUGAAUUUAUUAUAUAUAUAAAUAUGUAUUUAUUAAAAAUAUAUUAAUUUAAAAAAAAACUUACUUUUUUUUUGGAAUUCCACGAUGACCGGUGAUGGUUUGCGGCAGCUGACGGUGUGGCAGUUCGAUGAUCGAAUUUUGAG
rnacentral:lncRNA from 1 species